GGUUGGUAAAUGUUUUAAUUGAAGAGACAACAUCCAUAAAACAGGUUUUGCUCUGCCCUAAACACAGGCUGCUUUUAUCAACAUGCAUACACAACAAAAGUAUGGAACAAUCAUGACGUUCGACAAAACGAAAAACAUAACACCUGGCAUACCCAAUAAAUACAAGGAACGACAUCCAUAAACCAGGUGUUGCUCUGUCUGUAAGACCAAAUCUUCAGCCAAGUACAAAUUAACACUGAAAGGAGGGAUAGGAACAGUCAUACUAGCUCAAUGACAAUAUGAACACUAUAAACAAAUCCACUGUUAAAAAGUUAAGAAACACAUAUAAUCCGUAUGGUACGUAUCCCAACCUGCUGUUAGAAAUUUCAGGGACAUAUUGUUUGUAUACUACACACUAUGUAUAGGUCCAAAUAAUAUACUACAUACAUACAUAUAUAUAUAUAUAUAUACAGUAACACUUUAUUUGAAGGGGUGUGCAUAAGAGUGACAUGACAUUGUCAUGAUGCUGUCAUAGCCAUGACAUGUUAGAAUCAUUAUGAACGUUCAUGAAUGUUGUCAUUAGGUUGAUUGUGUCAUUUUUUAUGCAAGGUUGACAUUGUUUGGGAGGUCUUUAUGACAACUUCAAAUUAACUGAGUCAACACAACCCGUCAAUGUCUUUGUUAUGACAACUUGACAUUAACUAAGACAAAAUAUCCUGUCAAUGUCUUUGUUAUGACAACUUGACAUUAACCACAACAUUAGAUUAGAUUCAACUUUAUUGUAAUUGUACAGUACAAUGAAAUUGAAGGAGUAGGGUAGCAUGUGCAACUGAAAUGCAGGGACAGAGCAAUGAGGUUCCCAAGGUAGACGUACCUGUAACAACUGAAAACUUCAGACUUGGCAAGGCAGUGGCAGAGUCCAGUAGUACAAACGGUGGAUAUGGUUAGGGAUAGGUCACCUAGUUCAGCAGGGUUACAGCAGAUGGAAAGAAAGUGUUCCUGAAACUGUUGGUGCUAGGAUGAAGAGAUGUGUACCAUCUGCCUGAUGGAAGGAUGGCAGUUUGUGGCAUGGAUGUGGAGUGUCCCUGAUGAUGCUGCGUGCCCUAUGCAGACACCGCUUGUGCUGGAGGUCUACGAUGGCCGGGAGCUGGGUACCAGUGAUGUGCUGGGCGAUUUUCAUCACCCGUUGCAGGGCCUUCCAGUCGGCUACAGAGCAAAUGCCAAACCAUGCUGUGGUGCAGUUAGUCAGAAACAUAACCUGUCAUAAACAUGUCAUAGAAGGCCUGAUUAUCAAACUUGAACAAACUAUUUAGCUUUAUGUGAUAGCAUUAAAUACAACUGUCAUAUGUGGUUGGUUUUGACAUUGGUUGUCUUGAGACCAUUAUAAUUGUGUCAUGAAUAUUUUUCUUGACCUCAAGUGGUACAAUUUG
ensembl:lncRNA